AAUAAGGGUAUAGUUGGAAGAAUGGGGAGUGUUAUUUUAGUCUAGCUUUUAACCAUAGAAGUUCAAUUUAUCUUAUUACCUCUCUAAUUCUAGUGUUUCAAGAGCAGUCAAAAAUAUUUCACGGGACCAUAUAUACUUAGUGUUUUAAUAAUGAGAAACACUAGAUCGCCUAAUUAAAAGUUCGGCUUGAAUUUAUUUUUCUAACCUAAUUAAGAGAAUUAUUGCGGACCAUGUUGUUUAAUUCAGAAUUAUUACACCAGAAAUUAGCACGGCGUGACUCCUAAAGAAGAUGGUCUUGGUGGAAUGUCCCCAUUUGGAUGGUCUUAGCAAAAUGUCUCUCUUCUUUACUUGAACACCAUAAUUUUUUAUUUUUAAACCUUGAAAUUCUUAUCUUAUGGUGGAAAAUAAAAGUUAAUGCUGGAUUUAUUGUUGAAAUCAUUUGAAUGUUGAUAAUUUGUGUUUAAACUUUUAGUUCACAAAUUUGUUUAAUUUAUUGUAAAAUUCUCAAAACUUCAUUAUUGGACCUAAGUAAGUAUUGAACAAGACAAAGUUGAUCUUUUUGAUUUAGUAUUAUUUGACUAAAUUAGAGAUUAGGGAUUGUUUGUGUUAGUAGUUGGAAGCUUUAUUUCAAGUUUGAGAUCAUUUGGAACUUGCUUGUUAUUUGAUCGAAAUUGAAGUUGUAAAUUCGAAUAACACUUUAUUAAAAUUACCUAGAAAAAAUAUAUCAAUUCGAUAUACUUCAG
rnacentral:lncRNA from 1 species